rnacentral:lncRNA from 1 species
GGUUGCAGUGAUUCGUUCCCAGUUAGUUACCGUAACGUUACUGUCCACUGUUUCUUUAGGAAAAUCAACAGAACUUUGACUGACAUCGAAAAACAUACUGCGCAACAACAUGAAAGUGAUGAAGAUGUCCAAAGAGAAGAGCAGAGUGGAGAACCUUUCACAUUGGAGCAGGAAAGUGAUGAAGAUUCCCAAAGAGAAGAGCAGAGUGCAGAACCUUUCACAUUGGCACAGGUGAGACAAAACUACAGUAUUCUGUCUCUCUAUUUAUAUGUAUCUCUCUCUAUCACUCUGUCAAUCUAUCUACCCAAAGAGAAGAGCAGAGAGCAGAACCUUUAACAUUGGAGCAGGUGAGACAAAACUACAGUAAACACAUUUAUGAAGUUAAUUACAUAAUUUGAUAAUGACAUUAAAUAAUCACGAGACAAACAAUGCUAUGACAAAAUGCACAGAUUAUCUCUGCAGCUCAUGGAAGUAAUAAUAAUACUAGUAAUAAUAAUAAUAAUAAUCAUAAAUUUCUUUGUAUAGCACUUUUCAAAAACAAGUUACAAAGUGCUGUACAGUGAAACAAAUAUGAUCCAUACUUAAAAAUGUAAAUGAAAAUGAAAAAUCAACAAUAAAAUCAGAAAAUACAAUAAAUAGGAGACGAACCAAUCCAGGGCCACAUCACUGAUACCAACAUAGUUUUUCAGACGACUAAUUAAAAAAUCAUGGUCCACAGUGUCAAAAGCUGAGCUGAGGUCAAGAAUAAUUAAAAUAGAGAAUAUUCCUGAGUCAGCUGCACGUAGUAAAUCAUUGGUGACCUUGAUCAGAGCAGUCUCAGUACUAUGCAGGGAACGGAAACCUGAUUGAAAUUUUUCAAAAAUGUCAUUAUUGUUCAUUAUUGUUAUCUAAAAUUUUAG